AAGAGGGCAAAAACAAAGAGGUGGGCAGAAUCAUCUGUUCUCUUGCUGUUUCAUUUGCUAAUCAGGACUAGUUCUACUCACCAGUUUUAUUCCACUGAUUAAUCUGCUAUUUGUCUCGUUAACCAGUAUUUUCAUUGAAAGGCCUUUUUGUUUGGUAUGUUCCAGCCCUUUGGGUUGCUACCUGUGUUCCCUUAUAUUCCUAGCUUUCAGUUUUUGACUUUUCCCUGAAAUUAGCAAAGAAAUAUUUGUUUCUUCUCUUCCUGCCCCCCCUUAUUUUCUCUGCAGUAUUCCUACCUGUUUCCAACACUAAACAGCAGUGUGCUGUUUAACUGCAAAUCUUGGGUAAAGAAAGCUUAUCUUAGCAGAGGACAUGACUAAUUCCAUACAAUUUCUGGUACAAAAGUGAUAAAAGAAGACUACGUAUUUAAAAGAACAAUCAGCAAAGGAUUCGAGUUUGUCAUUUCUAGUUCUUGAAGAACCAGAUCAUCCUCAUUAGGCAAAUAUUAACCAGAAGACUGGAUAUAUGUAAUUUAAAAAAAUGCAGUGUAGUGCAAAACAGCAACAAAAACACCUGAAGGAGCCAAUUCAAGCAAAAAUAAAUGUUCAGAAUCUGACUGAAAUCCCUUCUUUAAAAUAAACAAGCCCCCAACCCAACCAACCAAAAUAAUAAACCAGAAACAAACACCCAAACAAAGAAAAAAAAAAAACAAAACAACCAAAAGACCCCAGCAAAAUUCCAGAUAUUUGGAAAUAUGAGAUCAACAUUUUAAAGAUUCCCUGCACAGGACAACCUAUGUAGUAUCCAUUGCUGUAUACCUGAUCGCCCUCUGCACCACUAAUAAAAACAGUACGUUAUCUUUGA